UACGGGAGGCAGCAGUGGGGAAUUUUCCGCAAUGGGCGAAAGCCUGACGGAGCAACGCCGCGUGAGGGAUGAAGGCCUCUGGGCUGUAAACCUCUUUUCUCAAGGAAGAAGAUCUGACGGUACUUGAGGAAUAAGCCACGGCUAAUUCCGUGCCAGCAGCCGCGGUAAUACGGGAGUGGCAAGCGUUAUCCGGAAUUAUUGGGCGUAAAGCGUCCGCAGGCGGCCUCGUAAGUCUGUCGUUAAAGCGUGGAGCUUAACUCCAUUUCAGCGAUGGAAACUGUGAGGCUAGAGUGUGGUAGGGGCAGAGGGAAUUCCCGGUGUAGCGGUGAAAUGCGUAGAUAUCGGGAAGAACACCAGUGGCGAAGGCGCUUUUCUGGGCCAUAACUGACGCUCAUGGACGAAAGCCAGGGGAGCGAAAGGGAUUAGAUACCCCUGUAGUCCUCGCCGUAAACGAUGAACACUAGGUGUCGGGGGAAUCGACCCCCUCGGGUCGUAGCCAACGCGU
rnacentral:rRNA from 1 species